rnacentral:rRNA from 1 species
AGAGUUUUAUCCUGGCUCAGGAUGAACGCUGGCGGCGUGCUUAACACAUGCAAGUCGAGCGAAGCACUUUUGUCUGAAUCUUCGGAGGAAGACUUAAGUGACUGAGCGGCGGACGGGUGAGUAACGCGUGGGUAACCUGCCUCAUACAGGGGGAUAACAGUUAGAAAUGACUGCUAAUACCGCAUAAGACCACAGCACCGCAUGGUGCAGGGGUAAAAACUCCGGUGGUAUGAGAUGGACCCGCGUCUGAUUAGCUAGUUGGUGGGGUAACGGCCCACCAAGGCAACGAUCAGUAGCCGACCUGAGAGGGUGACCGGCCACAUUGGGACUGAGACACGGCCCAAACUCCUACGGGAGGCAGCAGUGGGGAAUAUUGCACAAUGGGCGAAAGCCUGAUGCAGCGACGCCGCGUGAAGGAAGAAGUAUUUCGGUAUGUAAACUUCUAUCAGCAGGGAAGAAAAUGACGGUACCUGACUAAGAAGCCCCGGCUAACUACGUGCCAGCAGCCGCGGUAAUACGUAGGGGGCAAGCGUUAUCCGGAUUUACUGGGUGUAAAGGGAGCGUAGACGGCUCUGCAAGUCUGGAGUGAAAACCCGGGGCUCAACCCCGGGACUGCUUUGGAAACUGUGGGGCUAGAGUGUCGGAGAGGUAAGUGGAAUUCCUAGUGUAGCGGUGAAAUGCGUAGAUAUUAGGAGGAACACCAGUGGCGAAGGCGGCUUACUGGACGAUGACUGACGUUGAGGCUCGAAAGCGUGGGGAGCAAACAGGAUUAGAUACCCUGGUAGUCCACGCCGUAAACGA